GGUGCCUAUUAUUUUUGACACAAUUGCGCAUACAUAACAAAAAUCAAAAACAUAAACAAAAUAAAUGUGUUGAAAAUCAAAAAUUUUCAUAAUUGAAUAAUGAAAAAAUGGAUGUUGUCCAAAAACCAGUAGAGCCAACAAAUAGACAUUGGAUCAGCCAGCCAAUCAGUCAGCGCAAACAAAGGACUUGAACGAAACCAACUGAAUCACCAGGAAUUUAGAGAAUCUCAGCUACAGCAAUCGCUUUGGGCAACAAUAUUUCAAUACCCAUGUGCACGCGAAUUAAUUGCAAAUAUUGUCAAUAUUUCCAAAACUUGCAGUGUUGACCACAAAAUCCAGACAGCAUCAAUUACUCGACUGUUAGGUGGAAAAGAAAAAUACUAAUAAAAGAUCGUACGAACCGCGAUAGUUUAUAAAAAUUCGAUAUAUGUAAUUAAAUUGAUAUUGAGCAAUGACUGAAGAGGCUGAGUCCAUUGCUUCACAAGCCGGUUAGAAAUAAUCAUAGCAAAAUUUUACAUAUGUAUAUAUGUGCAUACAUAUGUACGUAUAACGUGCACGCGGUGGUCAUGCAAAAGAAAUCGAAUUUCAUACUUACAUAAAUGUAUAUGUAUGUUCAAACUCUAACCGAAAAACCCUAUAUGUAUGUAUGUACAUCAUAAACAGUGAUGAAGUGAGAGGAAAACGAAACUGUUGCAACAAGAGAAGAUCUGAAAAGUAUCAUUGUGAAGCCAGUCUUCAAAAAUACAAAGUAAAAAAAUAACUAUAGGCCUAUUUCGUUACCAUCUUCAAUCUCAAACGUUUUUGAGAAAACAGUUAAUGUUGUUGCGACGUUUUGUUAAUAUCUAUAACAAAGGCAUUGUGAGUUGCGUCUUCAUAAAUAGAGAAAUACAAUUCCUGGUUUAGGUUCGAGCAUCAGCUAGGAGGUUAGUAACAUUGGAUGGUGUGCAAUGAAUCACAUUUCCAUUGAUAGCGGUUUGUAGAAGAUGGACUACGACUGGCAUGAACCGGAUGAACAUCUUGAUAAAGAAUUCCCUUAAAGUUGCGGAAUAGUGUGAGAUAUUGCCGCAUGAAUGCAAUCCAUAGAAAACACUUUUGAUUUUCAUUUCAAAUACGGCUACAUAUUAGAAGGUGAUUGUGGAAAAUGUGAAGAACUGCCUUCGUGAAACAGCGAAUAGCCAAUCCGUCAAGUUCUACGCAGAGUUCCACUAGCAACGCACGAGCAAUUAAAUCAAAUAAUCCAAGAAAUGCAGCAAAGUGUAGUAAUUGAGCCAUCAAAAACCUGUGGAGCUCACCGGUCGUACUGGUUAAAAAGAAAGAUUGUAGCCCUCGGCUGGUAUAGAUUACAGGAAGCUGAAGCAUUACCACGAAAUGGUUUUCCCCGCUUGAUUUAAAAAGUGAUUACUGACUGGUGGAAAUUGAGGAUUGCGAUCGUGAGAAGACAGCCUUCAGCAUAGGAGAUGGGUUGUGGCAGUUUCCUGUGAUGUCAUUCGGAUUAUGCAACGCCCUGAUAUCAUUGGAGUGUCUGAUAGAGCAUGUGCUGAAGGUACUUCACUGGAAAACG